rnacentral:rRNA from 1 species
AAAACUCCCUUGACGGUACUUAAUGAAUAAGCCCCGGCUAAUUAUGUGCCAGCAGCCGCGGUAAUACAUAAGGGGCGAGCGUUAUCCGGAAUUAUUGGGCGUAAAGGGUGCGUAGGCGGUUUAAUAAGUCUAUAGUUUAAUUUCAGUGCUUAACGCUGUUGUGCUAUAGAAACUGUUUUACUAGAGUGAGUUAGAGGCAAGCGGAAUUCCAUGUGUAGCGGUAAAAUGCGUAAAUAUAUGGAGGAACACCAGAGGCGUAGGCGGCUUGCUGGGACUUUACUGACGCUGAGGCACGAAAGCGUGGGGAGCAAACAGGAUUAGAUACCCUGGUAGUCCACACCGUAAACGAUGAGUACUAAGUGUCGGGUAAAACCGGUACUGAAGUUAACACAUUAAGUACUCCGCCUGAGUAGUACGUACGCAAGUAUGAAACUUAAAGGAAUUGACGGGACUCCGCACAAGCGGUGGAUCAUGUUGUUUAAUUCGAAGAUACACGAAAAACCUUACCAGGUCUUGACAUUUUCUUGCGAAGUUAUAGAAAUAUAAUGGAGGUUAUCAGGAAAACAGGUGGUGCAUGGUUGUCGUCAGCUCGUGUCGUGAGAUGUUAGGUUAAGUCCUAAAACGAGCGCAACCCUUGUCGUUAAUUGCCAGCAUGUAAUGAUGGGGACUUUAACGAGACUGCCAAUGAAAAAUUGGAGGAAGGUGGGGAUUACGUCAAAUCAUCAUGCCCCUUAUGAUCUGGGCUACAAACGUGAUACAAUGGUUGAUACAAAGAGUAGCUGAAACGCGAGUUCUUAGCCAAUCUCACAAAAUCAAUCUCAGUUCGGAUUGAAGUC